UACGUAGGGCGCAAGCGUUGUCCGGAUUUAUUGGGCGUAAAGAGCUCGUAGGCGGUCUGUCGCGUCGGCUGUGAAAACCCGAGGCUCAACCUCGGGCCUGCAGUCGAUACGGGCAGACUAGAGUGCGGUAGGGGAGACUGGAAUUCCUGGUGUAGCGGUGAAAUGCGCAGAUAUCAGGAGGAACACCGGUGGCGAAGGCGGGUCUCUGGGCCGUAACUGACGCUGAGGAGCGAAAGCGUGGGGAGCGAACAUG
rnacentral:rRNA from 1 species